rnacentral:rRNA from 1 species
UACGAGGGGGGCGAGCGUUGUUCGGAAUUAUUGGGCGUAAAGGGCGCGUAGGCGGUGCGGUAAGUCACCUGUGAAACCUCUGGGCUUAACUCAGAGCCUGCAGGCGAAACUGCCGUGCUGGAGUGUGGGAGAGGUGCGUGGAAUUCCCGGUGUAGCGGUGAAAUGCGUAGAUAUCAGGAGGAACACCUGCGGUGUAGACGGCUAUCUGGACGGUUACUGACGCUGAGACACGAAAGCGUGGGUAGCAAACAGG